rnacentral:rRNA from 1 species
ACGGGUGAGUAAUGCCUAGGAAUCUGCCUGGUAGUGGGGGAUAACGUUCGGAAACGGACGCUAAUACCGCAUACGUCCUACGGGAGAAAGCAGGGGAUCUUCGGGCCUUGCGCUAUCAGAUGAGCCUAGGUCGGAUUAGCUAGUUGGUGAGGUAAUGGCUCACCAAGGCGACGAUCCGUAACUGGUCUGAGAGGAUGAUCAGUCACACUGGAACUGAGACACGGUCCAGACUCCUACGGGAGGCAGCAGUGGGGAAUAUUGGACAAUGGGCGAAAGCCUGAUCCAGCCAUGCCGCGUGUGUGAAGAAGGUCUUCGGAUUGUAAAGCACUUUAAGUUGGGAGGAAGGGCAGUAAAUUAAUACUUUGCUGUUUUGACGUUACCGACAGAAUAAGCACCGGCUAACUCUGUGCCAGCAGCCGCGGUAAUACAGAGGGUGCAAGCGUUAAUCGGAAUUACUGGGCGUAAAGCGCGCGUAGGUGGUUUGUUAAGUUGGAUGUGAAAUCCCCGGGCUCAACCUGGGAACUGCAUUCAAAACUGACUGACUAGAGUAUGGUAGAGGGUGGUGGAAUUUCCUGUGUAGCGGUGAAAUG